rnacentral:rRNA from 1 species
ACGUUAAACUGGAGGAAGGUGGGGAUGACGUCAAGUCAUCAUGGCCCUUACGACCAGGGCUACACACGUGCUACAAUGGCAUAUACAAAGAGAAGCGACCUCGCGAGAGCAAGCGGACCUCAUAAAGUAUGUCGUAGUCCGGAUUGGAGUCUGCAACUCGACUCCAUGAAGUCGGAAUCGCUAGUUAUCGUAGAUCAGAAUGCUACGGUGAAUACGUUCCCGGGCCUUGUACACACCGCCCGUCACACCAUGGGAGUGGGUUGCAAAAGAUGUAGGUAGCUUAACCUUCGGGAGGGCGCUUACCACUUUGUGAUUCAUGACUGGGGGAAGUCGAACACGACAUGGCAC